rnacentral:rRNA from 1 species
AUGUGCAUCUUAGGUCUUAUGGAAUGGUGGGAGGAGUGGCAGCUGCGCAUCCUCGUCCUCGCCAGCCUCUUUGUUCAGUGCCUCCUCUUCAUCUCUGUCGGCCUUCGUAAGUGCCCUAUUCCUGGCUGGUUCAGAUCCAUAAUAUGGCUGGCAUACAUAGGCAGCGAUGCUCUGGCCAUAUACGCACUUGCCACCCUCUUUAGCCGCCAGAGGAGGCAAGAUUGUAUCUCUGGGCAAGGCAAUAGCAUCCUAGAGGUGGUGUGGGCACCGAUUCUCCUGGUCCACCUUGGUGGGCAGGACAUCAUAACAGCAUACAACAUCGAAGACAAUGAGUUGUGGACGCGGCACAUCCUCACCGCCGCGUCCCAGGUCACUGUAGCCAUCUAUGUGUUCUGCACAUCAUGGCCAGGCGGGGACAAGAGGUUUCUGCAGGCAUCAAUCUUGUUCUUCGUCCACGGGGUCCUCAAAUGCUUUGAGAAGCCCUGGGCUCUCAUGAGUGCUAGCAUUAAAAGCCUAGUUAGCUCUUCCAAUCCUCCUCGGAAGCGAGAGGGCGAGAUCAAUUCGCUUGAAGACUAUGUGCAAAAAGUAAAGGAUUUUAUCCAACCCAACGACAGUUGUCCCCAACCACAAGAAGGACACAAUAUACCCCAAGCACAAGAAGAGCACAAUAUAACCCAAGCAUAA